rnacentral:rRNA from 1 species
UACGAAGGGGGCUAGCGUUGUUCGGAAUCACUGGGCGUAAAGCGCUCGUAGGCGGAUCUUUAAGUCAGGGGUGAAAUCCCGAGGCUCAACCUCGGAACUGCCUUUGAUACUGGGGAUCUCGAGUCCGGGAGAGGUGAGUGGAACUGCGAGUGUAGAGGUGAAAUUCGUAGAUAUUCGCAAGAACACCAGUGGCGAAGGCGGCUCACUGGCCCGGAACUGACGCUGAGGCGCGAAAGCGUGGGGAGCAAACAGG